UGUGUGUUUGCGAUUUUUUUCCCCUUGAGCCACUCAAGUUCGGAAAUUCCUUAUCAGGAUAGAAUGCCGGCAAAGGAUGUAUGUGUGAGUGGGUGUUUGUGUUUGGAUGCAAUGAAGUAGGAAAACAGAGGAAGAGUAACAAAUGAAGGAGAAUUUAGGUCUUACAAACACAAACCAACGACAUACAGGAAACCCGAAAAUCAUGGGAUCAAAGUGAAAACAAGAAAUUAGCAGAGAGUACAACACAAAAGAAGAAAAAAACGGAAGAUAACAAAAGGUGGGCGUGAAGCGUAACAUAAUGAAAAGAAAAUUGCCAAAAUAAAUAAAGAAAAUAUUUUGCAAAAAUAACAGGCAAAGCAAAUAUGCCGCAAUGAAAAUCUAUUCAAGGAUCUCCUAGAAAUUUCGAACAAUAGCAGCAAAGUUAAUACUUUUAAAUAAAAGAACAUAAAACAA
rnacentral:sRNA from 1 species